rnacentral:lncRNA from 1 species
UUUUAUUUACUAAUUAUACUGUUCAGAAAUUCCCACUGGAAGUGACAUAGUCCUUUUAGGACCUGUGAACAAAACCGUUAACAACUUUCUAUGCAGUCCAAAAUAAGCAGAAGAGAACACUUUUUUUUUUCUCAAGGUUUAACAUAGGGAGCCAGACAAGAUGCCUGUGCAAAAGGCUACCAGUGAGAUGGUAAGAUUUUUAAGAUUGGAUGUGAGUAAACAAAUGUAUUCAUUAAGAACUACGGGUUACUACUUUAUUAUAUCCUAUUGGAAUGUAACUCUAGGAGGGUAGGGAGUUUUGUUUUUCACUAAUAUAACCUCAGUGCCAGAACAGUACCUGGAGCAGAGCGGGCAUUUGAUACAUACCUUUUCUGAGUGUAUAAAUGAAUCCCAAAGCUAAAUAUGUAGUAAGUUGUCUUUUAUAAAUCUUAGUGGUUUGCUUUUUUUCAGAUGGUCAUAUAAGAAAAUUUUUUUUACAUUGAAAAUGUAAUAUUUAAAAAUACCUUUUCAAGCCAAGAUUAUUAUUCUCAUUUAAAAUACAUUUUUUUUAAAUUGUAGCUCAGCAUCUCCUUUUUCUACAAUAUCAUGUUAUUAAGUGUUCAUCAAAAUACCACAAGGUGGCAUACAAAACCUCAAAAAGACAUUUCUGAAAUUCUGUCAAAAUUUUACUACAUACUUAAUAGAAAAACCUCCCUAAAAUCCAGGCAAGAGACCCCCAGCCCUGGACCCUUUGCUUGAGGGCUAGGUUCUAUGCCACUCUAGCAUACAUCCCUACCUACAGGGUGAGAACACCACAGAGCCCAGGGGCAUGUCCCUCCACACCUGGAAAACCUCUUCCAAGGCCUUGCCUUUCUGCUCCAUCCCAGGAGGACAGAUGAAACUGAAGAGCACAUUCCAAAAGUCUGGACUGCUCAAGCAGCACCUCUGCAGGAGCUGGGGUGGGUUGUCCUUGGGAGAUGGCACUGGGACAAGGAGGGCUCUCGGAGUCCAUCUCUCCCUGCUUUGAACUCCUUAGUGCAGGGCUUGAGGAGUCCAAGAAUCCUGGGAACCUUAAGAAGGCAUGUUUGCCAAGGUAGGAACAGUUUGUUAGUGUGAUUUAUGACUUCUGAUGAUUUUGAUUAUUUAUGACCUCCAUUUUCAGUGACCGGGCCCUGCAAACAUUAGAAUCAGGGCUGUGGUAUAUAAUUUGUUGAUAUUUUUGUGUAUAUUUGCUUACUUACAAUCUGUACUUGGAAUCUCUGCAUUAGAAUUCUGAAAUUUCAGUAACAAAAUCAGUGGCUUAUUUGAAUGGCUUGUAUUGGCUAUUUAUCAGGGGGUAAAAACAACUUUCAUCAAAAUGGCCUACAAUGGAAUUUGUAAACAAAUGUUAAGUACAGCAGCUAUUGCAGCUUUCUACCACUACUUCAGUUUUCCUCCUUCCAGGAAAUAGAGUAGGACUGUACUUACCUAUCCCUUGGUGUCAGUUGUGGCUAUGCAGCUAGUUUUGUUGUUGUUGUUGUGUUAAAACUCUGGUUUAGAUUCUUCUUCUAAUAAUUUUGAGAUGCAACUCUCAGAUCAUAAAAUUCAUCCUUUUAAAAGUGUACAAUUCAGUAGAUUUUAGUAUUUUCAGUUAUGCAAGUAACACCAUUAACUUUACAACUUUUGUACCAUUGUCACAAAAAGCAACUGGUACCCGUUGGCAAAGUAUGACUAGGUUUGACCAUUGCAAUUUGAGUAUGAAGGUUGUGCGUCACGCUCAGCAAGUCUUUUCACAGCUAGUGGUAGGUUCCCCACAUUCUCCUCUUGCCAUGGUGGGUGGUGUAUUCCAUAAACGAGACUCUAUCAGCCUGCAUCUUGGAGGAUAAAAACAGAGCCAAGCUCUUAACAAACCAAGAACGUGGCUAAGAGUUUCACUGUGUUGAGUCACUAAGAUCUCGGGGUUCUCCGUAAACACAGCAUAGUAUGGCCCACGUGCACUGGAUUAAUGAUCUGAUCAGAAAUCAGAGAGAAUUUUUCAAAAGUGCUUAGAAAUUGUAAUUAGAAAAUGACUCACUACUCAUUACCGUCUUACAAUGAAAAAGAGGCUGAUUUUGAAUGAUUAUUGAAGGAAAGCCACUUCAUCUGAGCUAAGAAAAGGACACUUCGCCAAAUAUAUUUACCAUCGAGGAUCCAAUAUAACUCCAUCACGAAUUUUGGUCUGCUGAUGGGAAUGUGAUAGUUACCACUAUUUGAGACAACUAUGCUUUAAGGUUUCUUUUGGAAUCCUACCUGUAAUUUACUUGGUCUCUGGCAUAAGAUAAAACUCCAGAAUGAAUUUUUUUUCUUUCAAUCGUUUAUCUUUUAGCCUGUGUUAAACAUAAUUUAAUCUUUCUUAAGUGAGUAAUUGCAGUAUCUCAGGUCUCUAUUUUCAGUAUCCCAUCACUGUUCAGCAUGGUUGACAUAUAAAAUGAGAUAUUCUGUAGAUCUUAAGGUAUGUUCUAUUGUUUUUAAAAGAUAUUAUUUAUUCAUGAAACACACAGAGAGGCAGAGACAUUAGGCAGAUCAUAAAAUCCAUCCUUUUAAAGUGUACAAUAUAACGUGUAAAGCAGGCUCCCUGUGGGGAGCCCGAUGUGGGACUCGAUCCCAGGACUCCAGGAUCACAGCCUAAGCCAAGGUAGAUGCUCAACCACUGAGCCAUCCAGGUGCCCCUGCUCUAUUAAUAAUGCUACUAGCAUAGUUUAGGUUCCCAUUACUCAUCAUCAUUGCACAAUCAUAUCAACUAAUCCCCAUUCUUUUCUUCUCUUCCUCUAAUCUUUAUUAGCUGCCAGAUUAAAAAUCCUAAAACGUAGUUCUGCUCAUGACUUUUCCCUAUACAAAAACCUUCAGUAGAAGCUCUUGGCCGGCUCAGUGAAGCAUGUGACUCUUCAUCUUGGAGUAGUGAGGUCAAGCCCCAGGCUGGGGGAAGAGCUUACAUAAAAAAAAAAAAAAAAAAAAAAAA